GGACUGAAAUGGGACAAAAAGAGGCCGUAUUGAGAAUAGCAGGGGCGAGUCUCUUCUGCGCCCACCUGGUCCGCAGACCGCAGGCUGGAGCCCAAGGCCCCUGGAGGGACCACCUCCAGCAGAGCCAAGGACACCAACACCCCACGAAGAGAUGGGAAGGAAGAUGGCAUGAAGAGGAUGGAGAGGGGAAAAGAACUCAAACCAUGAGAAAGAAGGCAACAAAGAGCGCGAGACGGAGGAAAGUGAGAUGGGCCGCCCCUCCCACUGCGGACCAGGCAGUCCUGGCCUGUGGUCUGCCGGCCCCCAGAGCGCCCACCCUCUGCCCGCAGACGGCACACCGCCCACCCUCCACCUCUCCUGUCCUUCACACGUCGGGUCUACCUUGGGCCUCUCAACUCAGAUUUUUCUUUUCCCUUUAACAAAAUUUGUCAUUGGUUAAAAGAGAGAGAGAGAGGAAGAGAAAGAGAUGAAGUAAGCCGAGGCCGAGAGCCCUCCCUUGUCCUUGGAACAGUCAACCUGGGAAAGGGAGAGGGAUGGGAGGAGGAAAAAAAAAAAAAAAAAGAAAAGAAAAAAAAAAAAGAGGAACAACGAGAAACCAAAUGUGAGAUUGAAGGGGAGGAGGUCAGGGACCGGCCUGCUGUACAGUUAGAGGCCCAAGGGCCCCGGAAUGGAGGUGAGGGGGCAAGGCCAAAAGGGGAUGGUGGUGGCGUCACCUUGUGGUCACAUUUAAUUUUUUUUUGGUGUAGCGGGGCACAACGAAACAACAAAAAUCAAAAAACAAAAAAACGAAAAAUGAAAAAAAACAGCAAUCAGGCAUGAAGAUGGCAUGGCUGCGCCUCCCCGCCCCCCUCCCACCCUGGCCAGCACCCCUGGCCUGCGUGCCCCACUGUGCUCCCCCUCCCGCCCCGGGGAGGGGCCUGGGCCAGGGGCCCCCCGGCUAGGAGCCGCGGGUGGGCAGGGGGGCUCGUGGGGUGCUGGCUGGUGCAACUGAGGCCCCGGAGGCCGUGACUGGGGGCUCAGCUCUGCUCUUGUCCGGGUGGGAGGCUCCAUGGCGCUCUGGGUUGGGGGGCUCUGGCGGUGGGCGGGGCAGGGGUUUUUCUUUUUGCCGUGGAGACUGUUUGGAUGGGCCAGGGAUGCUGGGCGUUGUGGUUUCGGUUUCAUCGUCCACUUACAAGGUGAUGGAGGAGUCAAGGCGGCGCCGUCUGGGGCAGUGCUGGUGGAUUUGGAAUCAGGCAUAGGAAGGGGCACAGGUCUGGCCACUGGAGGCGGCGGCGGUAGCAAAAAUGACCCCGGGACUUUGCCCUGGCCGCUACCGUUGGGCUGCGAACAACAUAAAUAGAGUGACGCAUGAAGGCACAUCCCACACAGACACACGCUCCCCUGCGCGGCCACGCCAGCUCGCUCCUGAGAGCGGGCGCUCCCGGUGGAAGAUGCAGGACGGGGUCGUCUCCUCCGGGGCACGGGGUGGGUGAGGGUGUGAGGCUUCUAUUUGGUCUCUCAGGUGUUUCUCUUUUUUUUUUUUUUUUUUUUUUUUUUUUUUUGUGGUCCUCUUUUGAAGUUGUGGGAGGGACGAAAGGGGGUGUCCGACGAGUGGUUUGUUAUUUCUUAGGGAACAUGUUUUAGGUACCAAAACAUGCCAUCUCGCCACCUAAGCAGCUGCCCCUAGCACGCUCGUGCUCUUGGAAGACCUGCCUCAGCAGGAUGGUCGUGACCUCCACCGUAGCCUUUGAAGCAGGCUGCCUCCCAGGCUCCCCAGCAAGCCCGGGGACAGCCACCUCUGUGUGGCCCAGACAUGCUGCACUUUCAAAACAUCGAGCCCCAUGUCUGACCUGUGCCGGCCACACCCUUCUGAGUUCUGGCCACCACCUCCCAUCACCUCUAAAGACCAGCACC